rnacentral:tRNA from 1 species
UGGGGUGUAGCUCAAUUGGCAGAGCGCCGCACUGUUAAUGCGGUGGUUGGUGGUUCGAGUCCACCCGCCCCAG